ACGCUCGACACCUACGGGAGGCUGCAGUCGGGAAUAUUGCGCAAUGGAGGAAACUCUGACGCAGUGACGCCGCGUAUAGGAAGAAGGUUUUCGGAUUGUAAACUAUUGUCGUUAGGGAAGAGAAAGGACAGUACCUAAGGAGGAAGCUCCGGCUAACUACGUGCCUGCAGCCGCGGUAAUCUGAGCGGGCUGGCAAGGC
rnacentral:rRNA from 1 species